rnacentral:misc_RNA from 1 species
GAUGAAAACGCAGCGAAAUGCGAUAAGUAAUGUGAAUUGCAGAAUUCAGUGAAUCAUCGAAUCUUUGAACGCACAUUGCGCCCCCUGGUAUUCCGGGGGGCAUGCCUGUUCGAGCGUCAUUUCACCACUCAAGCCUCGCUUGGUAUUGGGCAUCGCGGUCCGCCGCGCGCCUCAAAUCGACCGGCUGGGUCUUCUGUCCCCUAAGCGUUGUGGAAACUAUUCGCUAAAGGGUGUUCGGGAGGCUACGCCGUAAAACAACCCCAUUUCUAAGGUUGACCUCGGAUCAGGUAGGGAUACCCGCUGAACUUAAGCAUAUCAAUAAGCGCAGGA